GCAGAUCAUAAUUACACAGUACUCUUGUAUAUGUUGUAUUCUAUACAUGUAUAAAAGUUUGAAAAACAUAGUUUUAUUCAGCGCCAUUAAGCAUGGCUCCACCUUGAAAAACCAAGUUCUAUUACAUCUUCAAGAGUUUUUACCCAAACGAAUUAAACUUUCAGGUUAUAUUUAUAGUGGGAAAAGUGUUAAUUUGCGAUGUUGUUACCGUGGCAACGAAGUCAGGCGACUUUGGGGAACGUGGAUUUUGAAAAAUUAAACGUCCAGUCAACACCGCAGUUUGUUUCGUGUGAUAGUCUAGUUUAUCACGCUAAGUAGAAAUUUGAUUUGUAUCACUUGGAGAUAAAUUUAUAAUUUUGGCCAAUUAAUUAUCCUUUUUGUAAUUAUAUUUUCUGUUAUUUUCUGCUGAUACCGUUUGUGUCCCAUUUUUCAACUUAAUGCAAUAAACUCGAUCGUCAUCAGACUGCAUCAAACUACACUGUUUUCUUGUAACUUUGUUUAAAUGUUGCAUUCCCGCGUGCUUGAAAUGUGCUCUUAUAUUUUUAUCCAAUAUGGCUGCAUGCGAAUUAAGGUUUAACUGCCAAUAGACAACUCACUACAUACAAGAGGCCUAGACACAAAUUAAGCUU
rnacentral:lncRNA from 1 species